rnacentral:lncRNA from 12 species
CGGAGUCUGACCUCUUACACGGGAGAAGCUGUGUUUGGUAUCUCAUGUGUUGGCAGUGCUCCUUACAAAGUGGAGUGCAGUCCCACCCACUUUCUCAACAGCAGAAGAGAAUGAGGAAGAGGCUGGCUGGGCAAGGGGACCCUCCUCCCAAAAUGGUCCCAAGAGACAGCUCCGAGGGCACGUGGAAGGUGCUGCUACCCUCUGGCUGGGUGUAGCAUCACACGCGGCUGAACCAAGUUGGCACCCCCUCACUUCCAUGGGGGGCCUCCCUGCCUCUCAACCACCCUGAAGUCCCAGGAUUGCAGCUUUUCUGAAGCCCCCGAGAGGAAAGCAUCUUGGAGCACUGCAGACACCACACUGAAAAUAGUGAAAAACAUUCAAUUUGGAAACAAUUUUACCUCGAUUUAUCUUUUUUUUUUUUUCUCUCCCCCUUUGUGUGUCAGCCCACGGCUUCUGUCCUUCCUCUUACCUGAAGGUGGUCCUCUUGUGACUCCUCCUGGGGUCACGGUGGUGGCAGGAAUGGUGCUGUAUCGUCGAAGUGUGGCCAGGGGCUGGGGGAGGCCGAGAAGAAAGGACCCCCUCCCCCCCAAUCUUCCUUCCAGACCGGAGGAAGUGUGGCCAGAGAGGCAGACAGCACAGGCUGCAUCCGACAACCAGCGGUGUUAUCACUACAACACACACAUUGUUCUCCAGGAGACUGACCUCUGUGGCUCCCGUGAAUGCGCUCACUAUUCUGAGAAGUGUGACUCUGAGACCAAGGAGAAAAUGCUCUGAAAUUGUGUGUUAUUAUUUGUAUUAAUCAUCCAAACUGGCCAUUAAUGGAGUUCCCCACAUCGGAGACCAUUUGCUCUACUGAUGACCAUCCUUUGCUCUGGACUCGGAUUCUAAUCGUUGUUUCCAUAGCUUGAGCUCCCCAUGUGUCCUGCUCUCCUCCGCUGAGAACGGACUUGUGAGGAGAUGUUAGUGCUCAACCUCCUAGAAGCAUCUCCUGGAAAGUCAGUUGACUUGGGCUUUUGGAUAUCCCGAAACCCCACGGGCACUCUAGGCCACAUUACCCCCUUUUGGGGCCCUGUGCCUGCCAGGAUGGCUGUCCCUGCCCUAUGUCCCCGCUGCAGUCCCUUCAGCCCCCACGGAUGAUUGACCUUCCCUGCUUGUCUCAGAACACCUUGUUGUCUUGUCCUCUUUGAAAUGCCUGACAGCAGCAAAUGCUUGGGUCUAAACGCAAAAUAAUGAAAUCAAAUGAAAGCUCCCCAAUUUCUCAGCCACUUGUCCUUGGUCCGGUGUGGUGCACGGCAUGCAUUAUUCAGAGAGGAGCAGCUGCAUUACCUGAAGCAGAAAUUCUGUUUUUCAGGUGCCAAUCUAGAAGGGGGGCUGGAGUGCUGCUGGGGGGCCAGCUCAGGG